rnacentral:lncRNA from 1 species
GGGGAUUGGAGGGAGGGGCAGAGAAGGUUGCUGGUGGGGGAGGGGGAAGAGAAGGUAGAUGGUGGUGGUAGGGAAGAGGGAAAGAAGGUUGCUGGUGGUGGUGAUGGAGAAGGAGGUUGCUGGUGGUGGUAGGGGAAUGGAAAGGGGAAAGAAAAGAUGGUGGUUGUGAUGUGAAGUAGGAGGUUGCUGGUGGUGGUAGGGGAAGGGAAAGGG